UCUGAGUUUUAGCGUUGCGCAUGGGAAAACAUUCCACCCACCGGGAGUAAUAGUCUACAACGACUAAGAGGUACUCAUUUUGCUGUGUGCUGCGUGGCAUUGGGCCCAUAAUGUCCACUCCAAGCAUCUCGUUGGAAUGGGUGGUGGUGACUUGUUGUAGUUUGCCCACAGGUUUCUGAUUUUCUCCCUUAAGAGUCUGGCAUUUGACACAUUUUUUAACAUGGUGUUUUAUGUCAGUCCACAUUCCAGGCCAGAAUGCAACAUCAUGGAUACGCUUGUAGGUCUUAUAAAUACCUACAUGACCGCUCCAGGGAUUUGCGUGGUAGUGGUGUAGAAUGGACGACACAAGGCUGUUAGGAAUGUACACUCUGUAAUGAACUUGAUUGUUUGGCAGGUGAGUUUUGUGAUAGAGUUUAUCUUCCACUACCUCAUACUGAUCUUUUAGAGGGGAAUCAUUUUCUGCAAGUGCUUGAAGUGUUUUGAUGAUGUGAGGGUCUUUGUGCUGUUCCUCCCAGAUUGUGGCUGGAGACAUCGGAAACUCAGCAUUCUCCUGCUGGUCUUGGUUGGUGUACAGGUUACAGCUGGUACGAAUCCGAGACAGAGCAUCAGGUGCCAUAUUUAGUUUUCCUUUGCGAUAUUCAAUGAUAAAAUCAAAUCUCUGAAGUCGCAAGGCCCACCGGAUAAGGCGACUCUUGGUUUUUGUGGAAGAAAUUACCCAUUGUAAGGCUGAGUGGUCUGUGAUGACGGUGAACAAUUUGUGCUCUAGGUAGUGCUGCCAUUUUUCCAGGGCCCAAAUUACAGCCAAACACUCUUUUUCGGUGGCUGUAUAAUUGGUCUCCGCUUUGUUCAGGGUUCUGCUGGCAUAAGCAAUAACUUGUUCUAAACCCUUUUCCUUGCGCUGGGUCAGCACAGCACCCAAACCAGUGUCACUGGCAUCAGUGUAAACAGUAAAAGGCAAUUGAAGGUCCGGAUGGCCAAGAAUGGGAGGAGAGUGCAUUGAUGGGUUCAGCGAUCCUGGAGAAGUUUGGUACAAACCGGUGGUACCACCCGGCUAACCCCAGGAAGCGCUGGACCUCCUUGAUGUUGGUGGGCACAGGGUAUUCCCGUAUAGCCUCCACUUUACUUGGGUCUGCAGCUAUGCCUUGGACGUUGACAAUGUGUCCCAGAAAGGUUAUUUCUUUAAGACAGAACUUGCUUUUUUUUAAAUUAAUGGUGAGGCCAGCCAUUUGCAGUUUAUGGAGGACAGCCUGGAGGUCGGAGAAGUGCUGGGCUACAGAUGUAGCCACUGUUAAGGUCAAUCGUGGAAAAGAUGGCGGCUCCAGAUAGUGACUCUAAGAUCUCAGUGAUGUUGGGUAAAGGGGACCAAGACGACAGGUGAGGCCCAUCCAGAAUGUGAUGGUUCUACGAUGCCGGCAGUCAACAUCUCUUCCAGUUGCUCUGUAAUGACAGCUUGUUUGGCAGGUGUUGUACGCCAACUCAUCUUCAUAAUCCUCUGAGAGGAAAGCAGAGAGGAAAGCAGCUUCAAAUUCUUCCCACGUGGUUAUUGAGGAUCGUGCAACUUCCCACCAGUCCCGGGCAGUACCGUAAAGGACAGUGCGGAAAGUGGCCAGAAUGUCAGCAUCAGUAAGAGGAUGUAACGCUAAGAAAUCCUGACAUCGAGUUAGAUAGAGCAAGGGGUCCAUGUCAUCUGACUGUCUCCCAAAAGUAGGAAAUGUAAUCUUAAGAUGAUCACUCUUUACAACAGGAGCAGGAAGCAAAGGAGCGGUCACUGGUGAUACAGCUGAAACUGGAGCGUUAAGAGGCAAAGGAGUUGAUAGGAUACCAGGCAAGUCCUGCUGUGCCGCCGAAGAUUGAGAUGAAGGGUCAAGUAAUGUACAUAUCUGCAUAGAGUCGCCAUUCGGUUCCUCCUCCCAGAUGAAGGGUUGAACAGGAGUACUGCCAGCUAGUGGUGAAGUUGCAAACCGCACCUGGGUUCCUGGUACAUCAGUGGUGCUGGCUUGAGUAGGAGUGACAUGGAGAGGAACACGAGAGAGUCCAGGUGGAGAAAGUAGAGGACGAGGUGCUGGAGGCCAGACUGGGGUAGCAACAUCGGGUGCCGGUGGUUCAAUCUCCACAAAAGUGGAUGGAGAGAGAGGAGUGGUAGCCAUGUUUGAUUGUCAAUGUAUGUGUAGUCAGUGUAAAAAUGUAGUGAAAUGUACGUUGAGUGAAAAAAAAAAAACAAACAACAAUGUACAAAUGUUUAAAAAAAAUAAAUUGGAACAGAAUACUCUAACAGUUCAGUGUGAAAUGUCUGUCCAGUUGUCCAAUUCACACUACAAUUCCCUUAAUUUCACAAACAAUAAUAAGAUUUCAAUAACACAAAUGAUUAUUUCCCCAGCUUUCACAUUAAUUAGGUCAAUCAGUAUAGCAGCAAGACAACUAAGGGGUAACAAUUAUAUAUUUAACAACGUGUAAGUUCAUGAACA